rnacentral:rRNA from 1 species
UGCCAGCAGCCGCGGUAAUACGGAGGGUGCAAGCGUUGUUCGGAAUUAUUGGGCGUAAAGCGCGUGUAGGCGGUUCGUUAAGUUAGGGGUGAAAUCCCGGGGCUCAACCCCGGAACUGCCUCUAAUACUGCUAGUCUUGAGUUCGAGAGAGGUGAGUGGAAUUCCGAGUGUAGAGGUGAAAUUCGUAGAUAUUCGGAAGAACACCAGUGGCGAAGGCGACUGUCUGGCACAUUCCUGACGCUGAGGUGCGAAAGCGUGGGGAGCAAACAGGAUUAGAUA